CAGAAACUACAAAGGAAUUGACGGGGCCCGGCACAAGCGGUGGAGUAUGUGGUUAAUUCGAUGCAACGCGAAGAACCUUACCUGGUCUUGACAUCCCGGAGACCCUUAGGAAACUAGGGGGUGCUUCCAUCUGGAAGAAUCUGGAGACAGGUGCUGCAUGGCUGUCGUCAGCUCGUGUCGUGAGAUGUUGGGUUAAGUCCCGCAACGAGCGCAACCCUUGCCUUUAGUUGCCAGCAGUUCGGCUGGGCACUCUAAAGGGACUGCCGGUGUUAAACCGGAGGAAGGUGGGGAUGACGUCAAGUCCUCAUGGCCUUUAUGACCAGGGCUACACACGUACUACAAUGGCCGAUACAAAGGGCAGCGACACUGCGAGGUGAAGCCAAUCCCGUAAAAUCGGUCUCAGUCCGGAUUGGAGUCUGCAACUCGACUCCAUGAAGUUGGAAUCGCUAGUAAUCGUGGAUCAGCAUGCCACGGUGAAUACGUUCCCGGGCCUU
rnacentral:rRNA from 1 species